rnacentral:rRNA from 1 species
GAUCAUGGCUCAGGAUGAACGCUAGCUACAGGCUUAACACAUGCAAGUCGAGGGGCAUCGAGAGGAAAGCUUGCUUCCUGUCGGCGACCGGCGCACGGGUGAGUAACGCGUAUCCAACCUUCCCCUUAGUAGGGCAUAGCCCGGCGAAAGUCGGAUUAAUACCCUAUGUUUUCCGAUGAGGACAUCUGAGCUGGAAUAAAGAUUUAUCGCUAAGGGAUGGGGAUGCGUCUGAUUAGGUAGUCGGCGGGGUAACGGCCCACCGAGCCUACGAUCAGUAGGGGUUCUGAGAGGAAGGUCCCCCACAUUGGUACUGAGACACGGACCAAACUCCUACGGGAGGCAGCAGUGAGGAAUAUUGGUCAAUGGGCGAGAGCCUGAACCAGCCAAAGUAGCGUGCAGGAUGACGGCCCUAUGGGUUGUAAACUGCUUUUAUCGGGGGAUAAAGUGAGGGACGCGUCCCUUUUUGUAGGUACCCGAUGAAUAAGGACCGGCUAAUUCCGUGCCAGCCGCGGC